CAGCAGCCGCGGGAAUACGAAGGGUGCAAGCGUUAAUCGGAAUUACUGGGCGUAAAGCGUGCGUAGGCGGUUUGUUAAGUCUGCUGUGAAAUCCCCGGGCUCAACCUGGGAAUGGCAGUGGAUACUGGCAAGCUAGAGUGUGUCAGAGGAUGGUGGAAUUUCCGGUGUAGCAGUGAAAUGCGUAGAGAUCGGAAGGAACAUCUGUGGCGAAGGCGACUAUCUGGGCCAACACUGACACUGAGGCACGAAAGCGUGGGGAGCAAACAGGAUUAGAUACCCCUGUAGUCCCUGUCUCUUAUAC
rnacentral:rRNA from 1 species